rnacentral:sRNA from 1 species
UGAGGAGGAACCAUGAUGCGAAGCAUCAUUUGGAAUGGUUCCGACGACUGGCCGCCGAACGGGGUGAGGGGGCAUUUCAU